rnacentral:rRNA from 1 species
UACGGAGGUGGCAAGCGUUGCUCGGAUUCAUUGGGUGUAAAGGGCAAGUAGGCGGCUUUGUAAGUCGGGUGUGAAAGCCCACGGCUCAACCGUGGAAUUGCGCCCGAAACUGCAAGGCUUGAGGGCAGAAGAGGCGAAUGGAAUUCCCGGUGUAAGGGUGAAAUCUGUAGAUAUCGGGAGGAACACCAGUUGCGAAGGCGAUUCGCUGGUCUGCUUCUGACGCUGAGAGGCGAAAGCUAGGGGAGCGAACAGG